CUAAAUGGUAUAUAACAUCACAAAUGCUAUGAGUGGUCAAGACAACAGUCUGUGCCAAAGUGUCGAGACUACAAAACGUAAAAAAACAAAAUGCUUGGACAAAUAAUGGUUUUCCUCCUCAUCACUGUUGCUAUGACGACGGCGUUCUAUCUGCCUUAUUAUGGAUAUGAUGAUGAUUUUUAUGACGAUAUCUACGACUUCGAUGACUUCUAUGACGAUGAUUUCUAUCCAUAUCAACCCUAUUGGUUCUUCGGCUAAGAGCCAACCAUCUGCAAGUGCCAACCAUUACUACUGGAUGUCAAAGUGCUGAAUAAGUGUUCAACAACCCUGUCACUGACUUUGAGGAUCCAGAUUCAAGCAUCGAUCUACAAAUAUGGUUACAGGCGAUGGAAGUAUACUGCCAUUACUCUGUCGCAUUUAUAAACAGUUUACACAUGUAUCACAAAUAAAUAUUUUAUACUUUCUUAAAAAAAAAC